ACCCACGAGCGUUGAAAAGCUCGGGGAUGACUUGUGGGUAGCGGUGAAAUUCCAAUCGAGCCCGGAGAUAGCUGGUUCUCCCCGAAAUAGCUUUAGGGCUAGCCUCAAGGUGAGAGAUACGGAGGUAGAGCACUGAAUGUCCUAGGGGGUAUUGCACCUACCGAAGACUAUCAAACUCCGAAUGCCGUCAUCUUAUACUUGGGAGUCAGACUGUGGGUGAUAAGAUUCAUAGUCGAAAGGGCAACAGCCCAGAUCGUCAGCUAAGGUCCCUAAAUGUAAGUUAAGUGGUAAAGGAUGUGGGAUUGCACAGACAACCAGGAUGUUGGCUUAGAAGCAGCCACUCAUUCAAAGAGUGCGUAAUAGCUCACUGGUCGAGUGAUCCUGCGCCGAAGAUUUCCGGGGCUAAAACUUACUACCGAAGCUACGGCAUCAGUAAUGAUGGGUAGGGGAGCUUCCCAUACGGGUGGAAGCAUGACCGUAAGGACAUGUGGACAGUAUGGGAGUGAGAAUGUUGGCAUGAGUAGCGAGAUGUGGGUGAGAAUCCCACAGGCCGGAAACCCAAGGUUUCCAGGGGAAGGUUCGUCCGCCCUGGGUUAGUCGGGACCUAAGCUGAGGCCGAAAGGCGUAGGUGAUGGACAACAGGUUGAUAUUCCUGUACUACCGAUAACCGUUUGAGAGA
rnacentral:rRNA from 1 species